rnacentral:rRNA from 1 species
AUUGAACGCUGGCGGCAGGCUUAACACAUGCAAGUCGAGCGGAGAUGAGGUGCUUGCACCUUAUCUUAGCGGCGGACGGGUGAGUAAUGCUUAGGAAUCUGCCUAUUAGUGGGGGACAACAUUCCGAAAGGAAUGCUAAUACCGCAUACGUCCUACGGGAGAAAGCAGGGGAUCUUCGGACCUUGCGCUAAUAGAUGAGCCUAAGUCGGAUUAGCUAGUUGGUGGGGUAAAGGCCUACCAAGGCGACGAUCUGUAGCGGGUCUGAGAGGAUGAUCCGCCACACUGGGACUGAGACACGGCCCAGACUCCUGCGGGAGGCAGCAGUGGAGAAUAUUGGACAAUGGGGGAAACCCUGAUCCAGCCAUGCCGCGUGUGUGAAGAAGGCCUUAUGGUUGUAAAGCACUUUAAGCGAGGAGGAGGCUACUGAGACUAAUACUCUUGGAUAGUGGACGUUACUCGCGGAAUAAGCACCGGCUAACUCUGUGCCAGCCGCCGCCGUAA